GAUCUCUGCAAGUCUGAAAUUUUGUUGCCAGGCGCCUCCCCGAAUUGUAAAGAUUUAUUUUCAAUAAAUUAUCAAUAGAAGGCGAUGUCACCGAGCCUUCAGCAAGUUCUUGGACCUCUCUCAUCAUCCUGAUCAGAAAGACAGGGUUGUCACUUAAAGAGGAGGAUGAAAUUCCCCGACUUUUCCAGGUGUGUUUUGAGAAAAUUCCAAUCUACCCACAUAGUGCUCGUUGGCUGCCCGGAGAGAAUGAAAGGCUGGUGGAGAAUAAACCAUUUCAUUGCUACAAUCCAAGCUGGGGUUAUAAUUGUAUGGCCAGAUGGUUUUAUGUAUGAUCAGUUCCGGAAGCAAUUCACUUUAUACACUUGCUAUACGAGCAUUCUCCAGUUUCUACAAUUUAACUACCAGCAAGGUUGUUUGUAUAGAUUACGAGCUCUUGGCGAGAGACAUAAAAUGGAUAUUACUAUAGAAGGUUUUCAUUCCUGGAUGUGGAAAGGACUAAGUUUUUUAUUGCCAUUCCUUUAUAUAGGUUAUAUUUUCCAGUUAUAUAAUGCAUAUACACUAUAUAAUUUGAGUAAGGAUGAAAAAUGUGUUGAAUGGCAGAUAAGAAAAAUUAAAAAAACAAUCAACAGACGGUGCUGGUAUGAACGACUUAGUUGGAAAUAUGCAAGUGAGACAGGCGAUUGUAAAUACUUACACUCCUGAUCCAGAACCAGUUCUCCAUUGCAUCCCAUAUAAGUGAACAAGGAUGGUGGAAAAAAGUGGAAAAGAAAAAGCUUUUGUUGGUGAAGCUGUUUUACAUGAACCAGGAUGCUGACUACUACUCUGAAUUGCAGGAUGAGGGUUUGAAGCCUGUGUAUUUGUUUCUGCUGUCAUAUUUUUCAUCUUGUUUUUGGGAAAUACAUUCACAACAUCAAGAGUCAUUCAUCAAAAGUUAACAGAGAAAAUUGUCAAAACUUUGAUUCCAACAGAAGAAAAAGAACUUGUAAAUAGAA
rnacentral:misc_RNA from 1 species